CUCGACUCCAACUUACCCAAUUUCAUUAGUGCCUUGUCAAAUGUCCAGACAGGGACGUCUGGACAAGGCGUGUAGUGCAUAGGGACGCAGACUCACACCGGUUUGAUCAACAAGGUGCUGAUAAAAUUGGAGCAGUAAGUUGGUUG
rfam:Paraglaciecola sp. S66 Contig10, whole genome shotgun sequence.